rnacentral:rRNA from 1 species
CAGUCGAACGAGCGAGAGAGAGCUUGCUUUCUCGAGCGAGUGGCGAACGGGUGAGCCAUGCGUGAGGAACCUGUCUCAAAGAGGGGGACAACAGUUGGAAACGACUGCUAAUACCGCAUAAGCCCACGGCUCGGCAUCGAGCAGAGGGAAAAGGAGCAAUCCGCUUUGAGACGGCCUCGCGUCCGAUUAGCUAGUUGGUGAGGUAACGGCCCACCAAGGCGACGAUCGGUAGCCGGACUGAGAGGUUGAACGGCCACAUUGGGACUGAGACACGGCCCAGACUCCUACGGGAGGCAGCAGUGGGGAAUAUUGCACAAUGGGGGAAACCCUGAUGCAGCGACGCCGCGUGGAGGAAGAAGGUCUUCGGAUUGUAAACUCCUGUUGUUGGGGAAGAUAAUGACGGUACCCAACAAGGAAGUGACGGCUAACUACGUGCCAGCAGCCGCGGUAAAACGUAGGUCACAAGCGUUGUCCGGAAUUACUGGGUGUAAAGGGAGCGCAGGCGGGAAGACAAGUUGGAAGUGAAAUCUAUGGGCUCAACCCAUAAACUGCUUUCAAAACUGUUUUUCUUGAGUAGUGCAGAGGUAGGCGGAAUUCCCGGUGUAGCGGUGGAAUGCGUAGAUAUCGGGAGGAACACCAGUGGCGAAGGCGGCCUACUGGGCACCAACUGACGCUGAGGCUCGAAAGUGUGGGUAGCAAACAGGAUUAGAUACCCUGGUAGUCCACACCGUANACGAUGAUUACUAGGUGUUGGAGNAUUGGCCCCUUCAGUGCCGCAGUUAACACAAUAAGUAAUCCACCUGGGGAGUACGAC